rnacentral:rRNA from 1 species
UACGUAGGGCGCAAGCGUUGUCCGGAAUUAUUGGGCGUAAAGAGCUUGUAGGCGGUUUGUCGCGUCUGCUGUGAAAUUUCGGGGCUCAACCCCGAACUUGCAGUGGGUACGGGCAGACUAGAGUGUGGUAGGGGAGACUGGAAUUCCUGGUGUAGCGGUGAAAUGCGCAGAUAUCAGGAGGAACACCGGUGGCGAAGGCGGAUCUCUGGGCCUUACCUGACGCUCAGGUGCGAAAGCUAGGGGAGCGAACAGG